GCCCGGCAAAAAAUGCCCAUUUAUUGAGUUACCCAAUCUUCCCAUCUCACCUCAUUUUACGUUUCUGACUAGUUGAGUAAUGAAUUAUUGAGUGGAAAUUUUCCUAAUAACCCUAGGGUUUAGGUAUUUUCCCUUCAAUUCACAACUACGAAAUCUUCCAAGAUCUCUUCCUUCUUCAGUCGGCGACGAUAUACACGGUGACCCAAGGAGAAAGCUCACUAAAUCCGGCAAGGGCGGCCAUAUCCAACGACAAUGACGAGGACAAAAAUGUGGUGCAUAUGAUGGAGGAGAUUAUAAGGAAUUAUCUUGUUGUUCGACUAUGUAUCAUUCACCUCAUACUCAGACGAUUGGGCCAACACAAAAAGAGGAAGAGAAUUCAAAUUGUACUACCGUAUAGGAUCGUCGGCAGCUUAAUUUACAAGCUGCGGCGGCUUGUAAAACAAAAUAGGGUGAAACUUUCUAAUUAUGAUGUAUUAGGUCAUUGGAGGUUAUUAUUGUAAAUACAAAAAAAAUUAGUGGGUAAAAAUGUCAUUUCUCUGUCUCACUUUGUAGUA